GGGACGGGUGAGUAAUGUCUGGGAAACUGCCUGAUGGAGGGGGAUAACUACUGGAAACGGUAGCUAAUACCGCAUAAUGUCGCAAGACCAAAGAGGGGGACCUUCGGGCCUCUUGCCAUCAGAUGUGCCCAGAUGGGAUUAGCUAGUAGGUGGGGUAACGGCUCACCUAGGCGACGAUCCCUAGCUGGUCUGAGAGGAUGACCAGCCACACUGGAACUGAGACACGGUCCAG
rnacentral:rRNA from 1 species